rnacentral:rRNA from 1 species
AGCGAACAUUGGCGGUAGGCUUAACACAUGCAAGUCGAGCGAGGCGUAAUAGUCGAGCGGCGAACGGGUGAGUAAUACAUGGGAAUCUACCUUGGAGUGGGGGAUAACAGCCAGAAAUGGCUGCUAAUACAGCAUACUCCCGAGAGGGGACAGCGCGCUGCGCCCCAAGAUGAGCCCAUGGCUGAUUAGCCAGUUGGUGGGGUAAAGGCCUACCAAGGCGACGAUCAGUAGCUGGUUUGAGAGGAUGAUCAGCCACACUGGAACUGAGACACGGUCCAUACUCCUACGGGAGUCAGCAGUGGGGAAUCUUGCGCAAUGGGGGCAACCCUGACGCAGCCAUACCGCGUGUGCGAUGAAGGUCUUCGGAUUGUAAAGCACUUUCAGUAGGGACGACGAUGACGGUACCUACAGAAGAAGUCACGGCUAACUUCGUGCCAGCCGCCGCGGUAA